CUCCACUGAGCGUUUGAUCUCCUGAAUCUUCAGUCGUCUCUUCUGGAUCAUCUGCUGAAUUUCAGCCUCUGUCUUCCCCAGCUCGGCCUUCUUUCCUUCAUAUUCUUCUUUCAGAGGAACAACAUCAUGUGUCUUGUGGUCUAAAACAGUGCAGAGCAUGCAGACACACAUCUGGUCGGUCUUACAGAACAGCUCCAGCAGUUUAUCGUGCUUCGUACACAUCCUGCCUUCCAGGUUCUCCACAGGGUCGAUCAGCUGAUGUCUUUUCAGGACUGACGUUGUCAGAUGAGGCUCCAGGUGAGUCUCACAGUAGGAGACCAGACACACCAGGCAGGACUUCAGGGCCUUCAGUUUGGUUCCAGUGCAGACGUCACAGGGAACUUCUCCUGGUUUGGAAACUUGUUGCUCUGAGCUGCUGCUGCUGGCUUUCUGUUGAGCUGACUGUCU